rnacentral:rRNA from 1 species
GACAGAGGAUGCAAGCGUUAACCGGAAUGAUUGGGCGUAAAGCGUCUGUAGGUGGCUUUUCAAGUCCGCCGUCAAAUCCCAGGGCUCAACCCUGGACAGGCGGUGGAAACUACCAAGCUGGAGUACGGUAGGGGCAGAGGGAAUUUCCGGUGGAGCGGUGAAAUGCGCAGAUAUCAGGAAGAACACCUAUGGCGAAGGCAGCUCUCUGGGACGGUACUGACGCUGAGACGCGAAAGCGUGGGGAGCGAACAGG